rnacentral:rRNA from 1 species
GACGAACGCUGGCGGCGUGCUUAACACAUGCCAGUCGAACGGAAAGGCCCUGCUUUUGUGGGGUGCUCGAGUGGCGAACGGGUGAGUAACACGUGAGUAACCUGCCCUUGACUUUGGGAUAACUUCAGGAAACUGGGGCUAAUACCGGAUAGGAGCUCCUGCUGCAUGGAGGGGGUUGGAAAGUUUCGGCGGUCGGGGUUGGACGCGCGGCUUAUCAGCUUGUUGGUGGGGUAGUGGCUUACCAAGGCAUUGACGGAUAGCCGGCCGGGGAGGGUGACCGGCCACAUUGGGCCUGAGAGACGGCCCAGACUCCUACGGUAGGCAGCAGUGGGGAAUAUUGCACAAUGGGCGGAAGCCUGAUGCAGCAACGCCGCGUUCGUGAUGACGGCCUUCGGGUUGUAAACCGCUUUCGCCUGUGACGAAGCGGGAGUGACGGUAAUGGGUAAAGAAGCACCGGCUAACUACGUG